GCACCUGAAUCUUUCCCAUGCUUUGUAGAACAAGUGCAGGCCUGGGGACAUGUGGUGCUAAAGCAACGCAGAGAAAAUCCAGACAAGUCACCUUCCUCUUGUCGACUUGUCUCUACGCCUUUGCAACACUG
ensembl:snoRNA